UUAAUGAAACUUAAUAUAAAUGUGAACUGGCAAGUAUAGAUGAACUCUCGACUUUGGAAUUUCCAAAAUGGCGGCCGUUGCCAUGGAAACAUCAAAAAUGUGAAAAAUUUCAAAAAGCCUUUCAUGUUCUGAAAAUUUGCAGAAAGGUGUAUAGCAAUGCAUAUAUGUGCAACCACUGUUUAAAAUUUUGAAAUGGCUGCCGCUUAGUGGCAAUGGGGGAAGGGUGACAUCCGCUAUUGCUUGCAAUAGCAAUGCUAGUUAUUCUUCUUCUUCCUCUUCAGCCGCUUUUAAAUUUGAACUUGUCCGCACCCGUUCUCCAAAACCGCUUGUCAGAUUAACUUAGGGUUUCACAAUAUGUUAGACUAACAUGUCUAGUGGUGCAAUCAGGGUUUUGUUUUUGCAAUGGGGUUUAUAAAGGGGUAUUUUGAGGGGCAAAAAGAAAGGAGGGUUUUACUAUAGAACCCUAUGGGAUUUUAUUUUUUAAAAUUUUCAAAUGAUUAUAAAUUGAAAACCGUUUGUGAUAGACACAAUCUUUUUACUACAAAAUGUUCUAAAUGAUAAAGCACAUUAAAUGAAAUACAGGGUUAGUCCCCAGGGGGCACCCCCACCCCCUGCCAUUUAAGAAAGUUCUAAUAUCUUGUAAGUGGUCAAGAUCCCCACCCCUAAACCAUAUAUAUUCUAGUUUGUCAUGCUAAGAUGGUUUGAAUGAUAUACAGGGUUAGUCCCAAGGGGUCAUCCCGACCCCCUGCCAUUUGAGAAAGUUCUAAUAUCUUGUAAAUGGUCGAGAUCCCCACCUCUAAACCAUAUAUAUUCUGGUUUGUCAUGUGCAGAUGGUUUGAAUGACAUACAGGGUUAGUCCCCAGGGGUCGUCCCGACCCCCUGUCAUUUGAGAAAGUUCUAAUAUCUUUUAAAUGGUCGAGAUCCCCACCCCUAUACCAUACAUAUUCCUGUUUGUCAUGUCUCGAACAUUUGAAUGACGUAUAUGGUCAGUCCCCAGGGGUUCCCCCCACCCCCAAUGUUCCAGUAUCUUGUAAGUGGUCGAGAUCCCCACCCCUUAACCAUACAUAUUCCUGUUUGUCAUGUCUCGAACAUUUGAAUGACGUAUAGGGUCAGUCCCCAGGGGUUCCCCCCCCCACACCCAAUGUUCUAGUAUCUUGUAAAUGGUUGAGAUCCCCACCCCUAAACCAUAUAUAUUCUGGUUUGUCAUGCCAAGAUGAUUUGAAUGAUAUACAGGGUUAGUCCCCAGGCAUCAUUAAUGCAUAUAACUUUUCUGGACUAAACCAAUUUUCACUGGACUUUGCCCAAUGUCAGGCGACCCUGGGAAUUACGAAUUAUGGGAGCUUCGUUUGGGAGACUUCGUAACAGCAUCCUGUUACAAUCAUUUCUUGUUAUUAUUUGCUUUUAUAUAUAAAUCAGAAAUAAGCAACUUAAAAUGGAAAAUUUUAAAGAAAAAAAAAAGGAAAAAAAGGAAAAAACCCCCCCCCCCCCCCAAA